CACAGUUCAGGCAUGCACUGGACUGGGUUAAAUUCCAACAUAGGUUUUUGAACUUAUCCAUGGAGCCCUUUCUGGCAUCACCAGCCUCACUCGUGGCUCUCCUUCACAGCCCGCAGCAUCAACUCCCUGACUCUAUACUGUCUAAUGCCCUCCUAGCUACCCCUAUUGGAGCCUGGAAACAGCCUCACUCCAAACUUGGGGCCAACCUAACUCAUAACCCAG